GACGAACGCUGGCGGCGUGCUUAACACAUGCAAGUCGUACGGUAAGGCCCUUUCGGGGGUCCACGAGUGGCGAACGGGUGAGUAACACGUGAGUAACCUGCCCACAACUUUGGGAUAACGCUAGGAAACUGGUGCUAAUACUGGAUAUGUGCUCCUGCUUCAUGGUGGGGGUUGGAAAGCUCCGGCGGUUGUUGAUGGACUCUCUGCCUAUCUGCUUGUUGGUGGGGUAGUGGCCUACCAAGGCGGCGACGGGUAGCCGGCCUGAGAGGGUGACCGGCCACAUUGGGACUGAGAUACGGCCCAGACUCCUACGGGAGGCAGCAGUGGGGAAUAUUGCACAAUGGGCGCAAGCCUGAUGCAGCAACGCCGCGUGCGGGAUGACGGCCUUCGGGUUGUAAACCGCUUUCAGCAGGGACGAAGCUUUUUGUGACGGUACCUGCAGAAGAAGCACCGGCUAACUACGUG
rnacentral:rRNA from 1 species